GAUGAAGAACGUAGCGAAACGCGAUAAUUAAUGUGAAUUGCAGAAUUCAGUGAAUCAUCGAGUCUUUGAACGCACAUUGCGCCCCCUGGUAUUCCGGGGGGCAUGCCUGUCCGAGCGUCAUUGCUGCCCUCAAGCACGGCUUGUGUGUUGGGCUUCCGUCCCUGGCAACGGGGACGGGCCCAAAAGGCAGUGGCGGCACCAUGUCUGGUCCUCGAGCGUAUGGGGCUUUGUCACCCGCUCCCGUAGGUCCAGCUGGCAGCUAGCCUCGCAACCAAUCUUUUUAACCAGGUUGACCUCGGAUCAGGUAGGGAUACCCGCUGAACUUAAGCAUAUCAAUAAGCGGAGGA
rnacentral:misc_RNA from 1 species